rnacentral:rRNA from 1 species
AUUGAACGCUGGCGGCAGGCCUAACACAUGCAAGUCGAGCGGAUGAAGGGAGCUUGCGCCUCGAUUCAGUGGGCGACGGGCGAGUAAUGCCUAGGAGGCUGCCUUGCAUUUAGGGAUAACGUCCGGUAACGGGCGCUGAUACCGCAUCCGUCCAGAUGUUGAACGUGAGGGAUCUUCGGACCUCACGCGAUUAGAUGAGCCUAGGUCGGAUUAGCUAGUUGGUGGGGUAAAGGCCUACCAAGGCGACGAUCCGUAACUGGUCUGAGAGGGUGAUCAGACACACUGGAACUGAGACACGGUCCAGACUCCUACGGGAGGCAGCAGUGGGGAAUCUUCGACAAUGGGCGAAAGCCUGACCCAGCAACGCCGCGUGUGUGAUGAAGGUCUUCGGAUUGUAAAGCUCUUUUAUUUGGGAGGAACAGAAGUAAGUUAAUCCGUUGCUAUUUUGACGUUACCAACAGAAUAAGCCCCGGCUAACUUCGUG